AUGGAGCUUUAGACACACAGAUGGACCAUGUCAAACACCCCCAGCUAAGGGCCUGAACUAAAUGGAACCUGCCUUGAUGUCUUCGGUUGGGGCGACCAUGGGGAAUACAAAACCCCCACGUGGAAAGGGAGCACACCCCUAAGUUACUUCUUCUCCCGCAAGCCAGAGCAACAGCUCUAACAAGCAGAAAUUCUGACCAAACUGAUCCGGUAAAACCGAUCAACGAACCA
rnacentral:rRNA from 1 species